ACUCAAAGGAAUUGACGGGGACUCGCACAAGCGGUGGAACAUGUGGUUUAAUUCGUAACUAAGCGAAGAACCUUACCAGGGUUUGACAUCUAGAGAACUCUCCAGAAACGGAGAAGUGCCCGCAAGGGAGCUCUAAGACAGGUGCUGCACGGCCGUCGUCAGCUCGUGCUGUGAAGUGUUCGGUUAAGUCCGCGAACGAGCGAAACCUGCAUCCUGUGUUGAAUUUUCACAGGAAACUGCCCUCUACAAGAGGGAGGAAGGUGCAGAUGACGUCAGGUCAGCGUGGCUCUUACACCCUGGGCGACACACGUGUUACAAUGCCAUGGACAAAGGGUUGCCAAGCCGUAAGGCGGAGCUAAUCCCAUCAAAACAUGGCCCAGUUCGGAUUGAGGGCUGAAACUCGCCCUCAUGAAGCCGGAAUCGCUAGUAACCGUGAAUCAGCCACGUCACGGUGAAUACGUUCUCGAGUCUUGUACACACCGCCCGU
rnacentral:rRNA from 1 species